CCUACGGGUGGCAGCAGUGGGGAAUAUUGGACAAUGGGGGGAACCCUGAUCCAGCCAUGCCGCGUGUGUGAAGAAGGCCCUCGGGUUGUAAAGCACUUUCAGUGAGGAAGAACGCCUGGUGGUUAAUACCCAUCAGGAAAGACAUCACUCACAGAAGAAGCACCGGCUAACUCCGUGCCAGCAGCCGCGGUAAUACGGAGGGUGCGAGCGUUAAUCGGAAUUACUGGGCGUAAAGCGCGCGUAGGUGGCUUGAUAAGCCGGUUGUGAAAGCCCCGGGCUCAACCUGGGAACGGCAUCCGGAACUGUCAAGCUAGAGUGCAGGAGAGGAAGGUAGAAUUCCCGGUGUAGCGGUGAAAUGCGUAGAGAUCGGGAGGAAUACCAGUGGCGAAGGCGGCCUUCUGGACUGACACUGACACUGAGGUACGAAAGCGUGGGUAGCAAACAGGAUUAGAUACCCCUGUAGUC
rnacentral:rRNA from 1 species